UACGGGGGGAGCAAGCGUUGUUCGGAUUUACUGGGCGUAAAGGGCGCGUAGGCGGCCACUGCAAGUCGGUUGUGAAAUCUCCGGGCUUAACCCGGAAAGGUCAACCGAUACUGCAGGGCUAGAGUGCAGAAGGGGCAACUGGAAUUCUCGGUGUAGCGGUGAAAUGCGUAGAUAUCGAGAGGAACACCUGCGGCGAAGGCGGGUUGCUGGGCUGACACUGACGCUGAAGCGCGAAAGCUAGGGGAGCGAACAGG
rnacentral:rRNA from 1 species